rnacentral:rRNA from 1 species
UACGUAGGGUGCGGAGCGUUGUCCGGAAUUACUGGGCGUAAAGAGCUCGUAGGUGGUUUGUCGCGUUGGUCCGUGAAAUUCCCUGGCUUAAACUGGGGGCGGUGCGGGCGAUACGGGCAGACUGGAGUACUGCAGGGGAGUACUGGAAUUCCUGGUGUAGCGGUGGAAUGCGCAGAUAUCAGGAGGAACACCGGUGGCGAAGGCGGGUCUCUGGACAGUUCCUGACGCUCAUGCACGAAAGGCCGGGGGAGCAAACGGGG